rnacentral:piRNA from 1 species
UACCUAAAUUUUGCGACAUGCCCAGGUA